rnacentral:rRNA from 1 species
AGACGGGGGGGGCGAGCGUUGUUCGGAAUUACUGGGCGUAAAGCGCUCGUAGGCGGCUUGUUAAGUCGGAUGUGAAAGCCCCGGGCUCAACCUGGGAACUGCAUUCGAUACUGGCAGGCUAGAGUAUAGUAGAGGCAAGUGGAAUUCCGGGUGUAGCGGUGAAAUGCGUAGAUAUCCGGAGGAACAUCAGUGGCGAAGGCGACUUGCUGGACUAAUACUGACGCUGAGGUGCGAAAGCGUGGGGAGCAAACAGGAUUAGAUACCCGAGUAGUCC